rfam:Valsa mali var. pyri strain SXYL134 unplaced genomic scaffold scaffold00121, whole genome shotgun sequence.
CUCCCAAUAGCUCAGUUGGUUUAGAGCGUUCGACUGUAAUUGUGAAUAGUCAUCGAAAGGUCACCUGUUCGACUCAGGUUUGGGAGA